rnacentral:lncRNA from 1 species
CCCCCGGAUCGCUAUUUGGGGUCACCUGGGUCCCAUAUCUGGGGUCACCCAGACCCCUGGUUCACCAUUUGGGGUCACCUGGUUCCUCUCUGUGGGGCAUGGAGGUACCCUGGUCCCACUUUUGGGGUCACCCCAACAUCUUGUUCACUAUUUGGGGUCACCUGGGCCCCAUAUUUGGGGCCACCCAGACCCCUGGUUCACUAUUUGGGGUCACUCAGACCCCUGAUUCGCUAUUUGGGGUCACCCAGACCCCUGAUUCGCUAUUUGGGGUCACUCAGACCCCUGGUUCGCUAUUUGGGGUCACCUGCAUGGCUGGAUCCCCUAUUUGGGGUCACCCACGCCCAUUUUUGGGGUCACCCAAACAUCCAGUUCUCUAUUUGGGAGGCUUCAGGCACCUGGGCCCCAGAUUUGGGGUCACCCAAACCCCUGGUUCACUAUUUGGGGUCACCUGACCCUUGGUUCGCUAUUUGGGGUCACCUGGGUUCCUUAUUUGGGGUCACUGAGACCCCUGGAUCCCAUAUUUGGGGUCACCCUAAGAUCUUCACUAUUUGAGGCCACCUGGGCCUCGUAUUUAGGGUCACCCAGACCCCUGAUUCACCAUUUGGGGUCACUCAGACCCCUCGUUCGCUAUUUGGGGUCACUCAGACCCCUGAUUCACUAUUUGGGGUCACUCAGACCUUGGUUCACUAUUUGGGGUCACCUGGGCCCUGAUUCACUAUUUGGGGUCACCAAGGUUCCUUAUUUGGGGUCACCCAGACCCCUGGGUCCCCUAUUUGGGGUCACCCAAACAUCCAGUUCUCUAUUCGGGAGGCUUCAGGCACCUGGGUCCCAGAUUUGGGGUCACCCAAACCCCUGGUUCACUAUUUGGGGUCACCUUGGUCCCAUAUUUGGGGUCACCCAAACAUCUUGUUCACUAUUUGGGGUCACCCAGACCCUUUGGGGUCACCCGUGUCCCUUCUCUGGGUGGGGUUCCCUGAUUCUGUGGGUCAGAGUCCCGCGGUUCUGUGGGGUGGGGGGUCCUGGAAUUCUCUGGAGCUGUGGGGUCGUGACCGGGGGUCCCCCAGAUCACUCCGGGUUUGGGGUUCCCGGGGGUCCCUGUGGGGUUUUGGGGUCGCUCUGGGGUUUUGGGGUCCCUGUGGGGUUUUGGGUCCCCCUGUCCCGGGGGUCCCUGUGGGGUUUUGGGGUCCCUGUGGGGUUUUGGGUCCCCCUGUCCCAGGGGUCCCUGUGGGGUUUUGGGGUCCCUGUGGGGUUUUGGGGUCCCUGCGGGGUUUUGGGUCCCCCUGUCUUGGGGCUCACUCUGGGGUUUUGGGGUCACUCCGGGGUUUUGGGGUCCCCCCUGUUCCCUGUCCGGGGUCGCUGCCCCCCGGCCCCGCGCAGCCAUUUUGUGUCGGGCCCUCCCCGGCCUGAGGCGGCUCAAAAUGGCGGCGGCGCCGCGNNNNNNNNNNNNNNNNNNNNNNNNNNNNNNNNNNNNNNNNNNNNNNNNNNNNNNNNNN